ACUCAACUACACUAAAUCUGACCCAUUUUUGUUCUGUGUUUCAAUUUAACACUUAUUUACAUUCUUAGACUUGGCGCUGUCGGAAGAGAAAGGAGGGGGAGCAGGCAUUUUCAUCCUCAGAAUUGCUAUAAAAAAAUGGUGAUUAGGAAAACACAGCUAUAGUCAGCCUGAAGCUGGGUAGCUCAUUUGAACCCACUAUAAAAGAAAAGAUCGUUUUCUCAUCCUAUUAAAACUGAGUUAGCAACGGCUGCGUAGGCGGCAGGAGAUCAGAAAUGAACGUCCAACUUGGAGUUCGUACAGCUGGGGUUGGGUCCAAAGCAAACUGCCUGAUUAGUGAAACAAUUUGUUUUUUACAAUGACAGCAAAUAGGUAAAUCUUGUGAGCGUCAGGAAAUCCUGGAGGAUUUUGAAUGGGAGCACUGACUGGCUUGCGCGUUGCUGUUUGAUUAGAAGGCAUCUCUGCCUCUGGUUUUUGUGCUCAUGUUGCAGGGACAUAAACAAGAGGGACUCAGUUUUCUAGGGACAUUUAUUUCUCUCUCUCUCUCUCUCUUGUUUUUACAAUCUAUGUGUAAUGACUAAUUGGCUGUGUUUUCCCAGCUAUUUUAUGUUUCUCUUUCCCUGGUUACAAGUCGUACUAAAGCAGCAUAUCCACAGGGACCUAUAGACAGCCAGCAUUGCCAAAUGAUACGCAGCAUUCCCCUUUCUCUCUAAGUGUAAAACAUUUACAAGUAAAUUUACAAAUGCAUUAAGAACAUUUCCUCAGCUGACUGUUAGUGUUUAUUUCUUCCCCUUCUCCUCCCGGGAGCAGACACCUUCCAGCCCCUCAACUUUCACACACUGCUCUCCCGUUAUUUGCCUCCUUCCCUCCCUGUCGCCCCUUUCCCUCCUCUCCCUCCUCCUCCUCCUCCUCCUUUUCCAGUUCAGCGGCGCAAAUUUCUGUUUGUGCCAGUGGGGCGGCCUGGCGAGACCGCAAUUGCUCUACCCCACAGAUUGACGAGCCCUCAGAUGCCGAUUUACUGUACAUGGCAGCCACGCUGGAGCCGCGGCACAUCUGGAGUGGAUUCACAGGCCAUGCUCAACAUUUCGGCCUUCUGGUGGAUAAAAUUCCAGAUCCCAGUAGGAAAGGGCCAAAAUUCCUCAUGAAACAUCUUGCCCAGGUCUCAGCCUUCUCACAGAGGAAGCAGUGAACAUUACCUCCUUAUGGCUGCUUAGGAACCGCUGGAGGUGAAACCCCGAGAGGAGGGGACUCUGCGUGGGAGAGGUGUCAGUCAGCAUGGAAAGACUAAAUUGCACAUCUCCAAGGUAAGCAAGACUUUAUCUACACAUGUGCUCAAACAGCGGUGAAACCUGUGGACUAGCAUUCAGAAACUAUAUUUGUUCCAGUAGGCUUCAUGCUUUGUGACCAUCAUUCAGAAAUGAAGACAGGAGAGCACUUGGAGAAUCAGAGGGGAUUUAAGGGUUUGAAAAGUGUAUCAGUAGGUGUUAGUCUGCAAAAAACAUGUGUGUGGGAAAAGGGCAGUUAAACUACACCUAUGAGUACUGUACUUUAAAAGGCAAUAGAUCUCUUUAACAUCUAAAUAAACUGAGAAACCUGCCUAGAAGUAAAAAAAGGAAUUUCCAAUUUCAAGUGUGCUAUUUCCUUUCAACGUGAUUAUUUACAGUAUACCUUUUCCAUGUUUUUUUGCAAAAUGUUAUUGACAUCCAAAUGGUAUUUCAGCAUAUUAUGACAGAUCUGAAAGUCAAACACAAAUAUUUGCAAUAUUUUUGACCUCAGUAUAAACUGUAAAAAAUUAUCCUGUUGUACUUUGCCUGCUUUCAGUGUUUUUCCUUUCUGAAGCAGUAGAGGAGUCAUUGAACUGGACCCUGCCAUUUGUUAUUGGCAUUUCUCAGAAGAGUAAGAACAGCCGUCAAUUAUAUAUUUUUCCAACAAAAACAUAAACUCAGUAUAUAAAUGUUCAGAUUAUAAUUCCACCACAAAUAUAUGUGUAGCCUAAAAAUAAACCACAAUAAAUGUUAGACUAAGCAAAAAUGAAGAAUAGCAAAGGAAUGAAGUAGAGGAAAAAUGAGGGGAAAAAAAGUAGAAAGAAAACCACAACAAUAAAAAUUGCAGGCAAUAAGUAAUAGAGUGGCUAUGAAAAAAACCACGUAAAGGUGAAAAAACCAUGUUAAGAGACAGACAAAGGAAACUAUCCACAAAAUUGUUGCAAAAGCACAAUUUAUUGUUACCUGUCAGGUGAAAUUGGCAUCACAGUCAUUGCAGUCAAGUCAGGUGUCCUGAAACACAGCAAAUAAAACCAGAUUCCAAAGAAUUUCAGUGAUCAUCAAAUGAUGAUUUAAUAACUGUAUCAGGCCAGAUGAUUUAACGACAGUAUUCACUAUCAGGUAUAAUCAACCUUCUAUGCAGACCAUGACUAAAAUCUCUGAUUCUAAAUUAUCCCUGUAAGUGAAUUUGAACAAAUUUGGUGCUUUUUAGUAGAUUCAGCCCUACCACAGUGCACAGUUUUAUCUUUGGGUGAACAUGUGCAGUUCUGGAUAAUCAGUAAGGAUUGUACAAGUGUGACAAUGGGCAGAGCAGGGCCUGUUAUUUUUCAUUAAUUUCCUAAAGUCCAGUUGUAGUACAAGUAUGUUCCUCAUUAGUAAUAGCACUACUAUAUUGGUUUUCCAACAAACCUUGCAAAAUAUUUCAUUACUUUUUGGUCCACUGAACUACUGAACUGCCAGUUCCUAGCAGAAAGGAGCUGUAACUGACUCACUAGUAAAAGGAACAGGAAAUUAGAUAAAAGGGUAACACUGGUUUAACAUGCCUAAAUUAAAAGGUGUUAGUUUCAAAUAUAGAGCCUUUCAAUAUAUUUUCCAAAUCUUCAAAAGUGCCUAACUUCUGUUAUUAAAAUGCUGCACUAAAUUAACUAAUAGUGCAGCACUGCUUCUGUGACUUGCAAUGAUUUAGUCCAUGUAAGCUAAAAAUAAGGUGAAAAUUCUUUACAUCCUGAUAGGCACCAUGAUCUCUUUGGAAAUUAAAAAUCUUAGGGUUUGCAUGAUUGCAGCAUGAUUAUUGGAUAGACAAAGAUUUAUUUUCUGAUAAUUACAUAACAAAACAUUAUUUGGAGGAAGCCAGCAUUGUAGCCAGAUAAAUAUCCUUGUUUAUGCUGCCUGGAAAAGUGUGGUAGGAACAGUUUUUGAAAUAUGUAUAACAAACAUUGUAGAAAGAAAAACCUUUUUAACCUUCACUUCUGGCAGGGAGAGGGAAUUGUAAAUGUAGAACAGCAAGUUAAGUUGGACAAGAAUCCUCCCACCUAAUUUAGCCACCUGUAUUAACUAUACCCAUUUUAGGUUUCCGUUGGAAUCAGUGGAGGAUGAGAGAUCUCCAGAAGAUAAUCUGUAUUUUAGCUCUUUGAAUUGUCAGCUGCUCUCAGAGGAGUUCUCUUUCCAUUGAUUGUAAAGGACAUUUAGGGGCCCUACAACCCAUGGGUAGCUGCCUAUAUUUAAAAAGGAUGAAACUGGAACAUCCAGUAUACACCAUAAAUAUAGGACUUACUGCAGAGCUACACGACAAGUGGAGUUCUUGGUACCAUCUAGGAAAACCCAAGUUAAACUUCUCUAAGUUAACAUCAAGCCAAAGUCCACUGCUAGGAGUGGAGGAGAGUGAGGAAAGAGAAUGCAUCCUGGGUGAAGAAAUAAAACAUUUUCUCAGAUGCUUACUCAAUAGUAUUAUGCUUCAGGCUCAGGAUGUUGCUUCAUUGUCAAAUGGCUGAUCUUUCCUUGUCAUGUUUUCCUAUUGUUCUCCAUUCCUUAAAUAAUCCUGGCUUUCAGCUGCGUUUUUAAUCCAUUUAAUUCAUUUUCAAACCCCCUAAAAAACAGAGAUUAGUGGAUCAGGAAAGAAUUAGAAAAAAGAUUGCAUAAUGGACCUAUUUAAAUUACACAGUUGCUACUUGCCUUUGCAUAGUAAUAAAGAUGCAGUUAAUAGCUUCCACUUUAUUUAGCUGCUAAAUUCUGUUUUGUUUCAGAAACCAACUCCACUGCAAUAACUACAUUGUUCUUUGCUCAUUAAUCUCUAUUAUUUGCUCUUCUUUGAAUUGUUGUGAAGUUUCAGAACAUGGGCAGUCCUCUGGCAGACAGAUGAACGUGUUGAUCUAUUAGAUCUUUUAGGCUCUAUGAUUUAGACAAAGUAGUACUAUUAUAAUGGUUUACAGACUUCAGUGCCUCAUUUUAGGACUUCACUGUUCAGUCCAUGAUAUCACAUCAGCUCUAGAGCAGAACUCCAUUGCUGCAAUUUGUUCUGUACAAAAGGUACAAGUACAGCAUAAUGCUAAUUAUUAUACCGUCAGUGUAAUACCCCUAUAUCCAGACCACUAUACUUGCAGUUAAUCAGAAAAUAAGUAGAGGAUUACACAUAACUGAGGUUAGUUUUUUUUUAAAUUGCAUUCAUACCAAAUAUGACUUUAUGACCUUAUAUACUGCAGGUUGUUGCCACAAAUUUACUUCUUGAACUGAAUCUUGUAUCAUUAUAAGCUCUGGUGGUAGGAGACAUGUAAGCAGUUCUAGACAUACUAUAGUAUUCUUCAGAAUAAGAGCAGUCUUUUUUUUUAAAAAAAAAAAAUCUUGCAGUUAAUAUCUCAUUAAACAUGAAGGGAAAAUCUCCCAGAGAAUUCCUUUUGCUCUGACCUCAUAAUCAAUAAAUUCCUGUGGAGAAAAUGUUUUAUUUAAAUUUCAUUGGUUAGGUUCCCUGAAAUCCACAGUUCUCUAUCACCUUUUCUACUUAGUGUAGAUGCUACAUGUUCAGUGGUCAUAACUAUAAUGUGUCUCCCUGUGUCACUUUAAUUUGCCUUUUCCUGCGAUGGAGCAGCUCUUGACAUUACAUGUGUUUAAGAUAUUCCAUGUUUCAGUAAACUGUAUUUGCUGUGUUUGCUCUCCAGUCUUUAAGGAAGCAAAGAACAGAAAAAGAAAAGCAGCCUGAGGUGACUUGUUUGGGCUCCUACAUAGCAAAUAUAUCAUAAGAAUGUUAUUAAUUGCUCCUGUAUUUGUUACUCUCAAUGCAGUUGCUUACAGCAUUUCUGCACUUUUCAAAACAAAUGAAUUAAGGUAGGUGACUGACUAAUCUCUGGGACCUGCUGCAGUACUGAGUAGCUCUCAGACCACCUGGGAUAGACUGUGGUGUCCCACUGAAGAAGUGUGGUACCUCCUUGCCCAGGGAACUUGGACUCUGGCUAGCAGAAGACCAGAAAUCUGAUAGUCUAAUGCCCAAAGCUGUUCAGCAGCCACUAAGUACCAUCAAGUGAAGCUCACUCAGACUAGCUACCUCAUUCUUAGUGUAUUUAUUUGAAUUUGUAAGGUGUUUCCUGGAAAAAAAAGCUUUUAUGAGGGGUCUGUAUAUGUUCAGAGUCUUUGCAGGGGUGAUUUGGCAAGAUCAUACCUUUUGUCUCUGAACUGUCAGGAGAGUACACCCAGCCAUUUGAAUAUUUGUGAAUGGACUCUAACUGCAUAAAUAUGAGUUUCAGUUUAAUUAAGAAUUUGGUGGAGCUUGUAUGAACAAUAUUUGCAUGUUGUCCCAUCUUCAGUCACAGCUCUGCCUGUAUCAUGGGCUCAGAAUAGCACUUCAGACUUUAGACUGGCAUAAUAAAUAUUUCAGAGUCACUGAAUGGGGUUAUCACUGUGGAUAGUUUACUUGGUUUUCUCAGCAUUUAAAAAUGGUACUUGUCACCUAUUCCACAGAAGUCUUUUCUCUACCCUGCCAACUUCUUGAAGAGAAGAAUGACUUCAUAUUGGUUUGAGGUGUUUCAAAAGUUAUAUGAGGAGAAAUGUCACUGGGUUUUUUUGUUUUGCUUUGUUUUUUUCAGGAAUUUUAGCUAAGGUAUGCGAUUCACUUCUAAAUAAGCUAUAAUUCAGGAAGCAUUUAUGUAAUCUCUCUACAGCAGGAAUGUUCAGAAAUAUAUAUUCACAUUUGAAAAUGCUGUUGCACCACUACAUCCCAAUAGCCUUUUUGAAGAGCUUAAUCUUUGGCAAAGUCCAGAAUGCUGUUACCAUGCUUGGAGCAGAAUCUGUUUUAGCAUCUGAAAAAGAAUGUCUUGCUAUCUUAGUUUUCCAAAGUCCUUCUACAGUGAAUAGUGUUCAAGUGAGAAAUCCUCCCAGUGAAGAUGCCUGUAGAGAUGUCUGUCUCUGAUGAUUAUAGAAGAAGCACCUUUAAUCUAAGCACCUUGCAGCAGAUGUUUGAGACUUAGGAAGUUAGGUGAGAUGAAUCCUUUUGCUUACAUUUACAUAUCAAGCUUCUGCAGAGUGGAUUUCCAGAACUUGACCUUUCAAGCUUAACCUGAUAUCUGAGCCAGUGGCUGAAGCCAGACUCCCUGGCAUUUCCCACUGUGCUGGUUGGUGUGAAAAGGCUUAAGGAGUCAUAUCCAAAACAAGAACAUCUAUUUACCAUGCUGUGUUCAUGUGGACAUCAACACUGCAAAUCAGCAUUAUGCAAACAAACUCAAAAUAAUCACUUAGGCUAGUAAUUCUUAGGCCUCUGCCGUUCCACCUCCUGAAAGCUGUUCUUUGUCGGUUUAAAAUACGAAUGUCAUUUUGCCUUCUCUCCAACGGGAGGUCCACAGGGGACUGUAGUCAUCACAGUCAGGGCUAAGCUGCUGGAAGGGGAAUCAGGAUUUGCAUAAAAAUCCGUAGUUCUAUAUCAGAUCAAUUUCUUCACUACAGAAACUUAGAAUUUGGUACACAGUUGACUCUCAGGUUUUCUUAUCCUGGAUUUGAUAUUUCAGAGUUGGUAAAUUCUGUUCAGCAGAAAUGCAGAUAUUACAAAACAUCUGUGAACCAAGGAAUGAACUGAGUUCCUUUGUGAAAAACAUGGUACACAUAUUUCUGUAGAACACAGGAUCAGCAAUGGGAGAGGCAUAGCCAAGUGUUUCUGAGUUGUGCAAAACAUUGUCCUGUGCCAAAAGGAGUAGAGUUAAUGGUACAUGAAAAAAGGAUUGAAUCUACAGUCUCAAUAAGUUCUACAAACAAAUGGAAAGUAUGUGCAUGAGCAGAAUUUUGAAAGUCAUAUGAACAUAAGAAUUACCAUUUUUUAUCAGACCAAAUCCUGCCUUGGUGAGCAUCCUCCUAUUCUCUUCCUUUUUUAGCCUACCUGCAUCUCAGUUAUGUCCGUAAAAUCGAGGUACUACUAUCUAAGGAUAUGGUCAAAGUCAUUCUCUGCCCCAAUGAAUUUACAGUCUGAAACUGGGAGAACCUCCAAAUGGUUGGAGCUUACCCUAUUGACAUAAAAUGAUCUAUCUUUCACACUGGCAAAAUAUCCUAAACAUCUACUUAAAAGGUGCUGAGUGACCUCAUUUAAACCAAACCUUAGGAUUAGGCACACUGUUUGUUUAAACUUUUUUGAGAUCCUGAGAUAUAAGAAGCUUUGGAAGUGCAAAGAUUUUUUAACUUAAUAUGUUUUUGUGUUUAUUUGUAGAUGUAGAACUUACGCAGUAUAAAAUUUGACAGCUAAGACUAGUCAUGAAAUGUCUCCAGGAAAAUAAAAACCUGUUAACAAUUUGCUGACAUUCAUGAAAACCCCUAAAUGCUUCCAAAUCUGCUUCCAGGUAUUCAUAUGCAAGAAUCUGAGAUCUUUUGCAUUGCAAAUAUUAGCAAAUGCUUUUUAAAUCAUGCUUGCUUUUCACACACCAUUUAUAUAAGAGCUUUCUGAGUAGCAGCAAAUUGUAGUCCUAUUAAAUUUCAGUUCACCUUCACGCUGGUACUUGAGUAAAAAAUGUUUUUUUGGAUAUUCUAUAGACAAUCCAAGAGUACAUGUCAACCAUUAAGGAUUUGAAUAUAAGGUUGCAAAUAUGAAAAUAUGCUAUUCAUAAUGAAUGGGAAAAGUUCUGUCUGUUUUACACAUGUGAGCAGUUCAGUCAGUUUACUAAACACUGAAUUUGAACAGAGGAGAUUGUGUAUGCCUUUUCACUGCUUUUUGAAUUUCUCUAAUUAUGUGUGAAGAGUGCAGCAAAUAGAAAAUAAAAAAAACC